rnacentral:rRNA from 1 species
UACGUAGGGUGCGAGCGUUAAUCGGAAUUACUGGGCGUAAAGCGUGCGCAGGCGGUGAUGUAAGACCGAUGUGAAAUCCCCGGGCUCAACCUGGGAACUGCAUUUGUGACUGCACAGCUGGAGUGCGGCAGAGGGGGAUGGAAUUCCGCGUGUGGCAGUGAAAUGCGUAGAUAUGCGGAGGAACACCGAUGGCGAAGGCAAUCCCCUGGGCCUGCACUGACGCUCAUGCACGAAAGCGUGGGGAGCAAACAGG